UUAGCCAUGCAUGUCUUAGUACAGGCGGUUAAAUUGCCGAAACCGCGGACAGCUCAAUAUAUCAGUUGUAAUCCAUAAGAUUUGUAUCUCUAACGGAUACCUAUAGCAAAUCUAGAGCUAAUACGCUUUCAAGUUUCGCUUUCUCAUCCUCAAACGGAGUCGAGUAAGCGAACAGCACUUAUUAGAAACCAUUUAUUAACUAUGGUGACUCUGGAUAUAUAGUUGCUAAGCGCUAUGGUCCUCGUACCAACGCUAAUUUAUGCGAGUGUCUGCCCUAUCAGCCAGAUGGUCAGCUAUGUGCUAACAAUGGCUUUAACGGGUAACGGGGAAUCUGGGUUCGAUUCCGGAGAGGGAGCCUGAUAAACGGCUACCACAUCCAAGGAAGGCAGCAGGCGCGGAAUUUAACCUAAUACUAGCUCUGUGAGUUAGUGACGAAAAAUCUUGAUGUGAGGUUCUUAACGGAGCCUUACAAUUGAAAUGAGUUUAUUGUAAAAACUUAUUACGACAAACUACCGGAGGGCAAGCCUGGUGCCAGCAGCCGCGGUAAUUCCAGCUCCAUUAGCGUAAUCUAAUAUUGCUGCGGUUAAAGUGCUCGUAGUUGGCUUUAAAAGUUUCGACCGUGUAAAAACUCCGCAAGCCUUUCUUUUUAUUUUUUUAUAUAUAGAUACGCGAUGGCUUAUAUAAGCGCAGAGCGCUAAAUAUACGAAACUAAAUUUAAAUUGAGGGCUAUACGCCACGAUAUACACGGUCCGGAAAUAUAAAUCGAGUAGCCGCUUUUACUUAAAAAGCGUUCGUUACUCUAAUGAUUGGUACACGGUAUGCUCUUAAUUGAGUGCACCUUGGAACCGACAUUAUUCACUUUAAUAAAAGUGGAGUGUUUAUAACGGGUCUAAAAUGAUUCGAGUGCUUUACUAACAACGUCUAGCACGAUAAAAUAAGACUUUGGUUCAAUUUUUUUUGGCUUUUCCUAGGAACCAAAGUAAUGAUUAAAGAGAACUGACGGGGACAUUAGUAUUGCAGCGCGAGAGGUGAAAUUCUGUGACCGUUGCAAGACUACCUAUCGCGAAAGCAUUUAUCAAGAAUGUUUUUGUUAAUCAUGAUCUAAAGUUAGAGGAUCGAAGGCGAUCAGAUACCGCCCUAGUUUUAACCAUAAACUAUGCUAACUAGCAAUCCGCUUUCGUACCAUUAAAAGAGCAAAGCGGGAUCCCCCGGGAAACCAAAGUUUCUAAGUCCCGGGGGGAGUAUAGUUGCAAAGCUGAAACUUAAAGGAAUUGACGGAAGGGCACCACCAGGAGUGGAGCCUGCGGCUUAAUUUGACUCAACACGGGGAAACUCACCAGGUCCGGACCCCGUAAGGAUUGACAGAUUAAAAGCUCUUUCUUGAUUUGGUGUAAGGUGGUGCAUGGCCGUUCUUAGUUGGUGGAGUGAUUUGUCUGGUUGAUUCCGAUAACGAACGAGAUUCUUGCCUCCUUAUUUGUGGUCAGAUCGAGUCCUAAGGCUGGGUAUAAAUUUUUCGUUUUUUUAUCCGGGUUGUAUUUCUUCGUGUUGUAAAAAAAAGCGGUCGACAGGCGGAAGCAGGGGGCGGGGGGCCUUCGUGCCUUUUCUCUCUCUCUUUCGCUCCGUCUUCCCCUUUUAUACAUACGAUAUACAGUCGCGGGGUUAUCUCCGGAAAACCUAGUCUGAGGCUGUCUGACGAAAUACACCAUAUUCAAGUGGCGGUAUUGGCGGUGUCCAGCCGUAAUAAAAAGAGCAAUAACAGGUCUGUGAUGCCCUUAGAUGUUCUGGGCUGCACGCGCGCCACAUUGAAGUGUGCAGCGUGCUUUCCAAUUCCGAAAUGAAGUGGCAAUCAUUUCAAACCCCUUCCCGCUUGGGAUUGCGGAUUGUAAGUUUUCCUCAUAAACGAGGAAUUCCUUGUACACGCAGGUCGUCAAGC
rnacentral:rRNA from 1 species